UACGAAGGGGGCGAGCGUUGUUCGGAUUUACUGGGCGUAAAGGGCGCGUAGGCGGUCAGCACAAGUCAGUUGUGAAAUCUCCGAGCUUAACUCGGAAAGGUCAACUGAUACUGUGCGACUAGAGUGCGGAAGGGGCAACUGGAAUUCUUGGUGUAGCGGUGAAAUGCGUAGAUAUCAAGAGGAACACCUGCGGCGAAGGCGGGUUGCUGGGCCGACACUGACGCUGAGGCGCGAAAGCUAGGGGAGCGAACGGG
rnacentral:rRNA from 1 species